GCUAAACAUCUAGCCCCACUCUUUUUUAUUUAAACCCCUUAUCUCCUCCUCCUACUUCCUCAAAACAUUUUUCCAAUUUAGUAAAGGCGAUUAAAAAAUUUAUGGGAGCUAUAAAUUUAGUACCGCAAGGGAAAGAUGAAAUAAAAAUGAAAAACCAUUAAGCACAACAAAGCAGAGCUUAUCUCUCGUACCUUUUGCAUCAUGAUUUAACUAGUCUAACCAAGCAAAAAGACUUUUAGUUUGACUUCCCGAACCUUAGCGAGCUACCUUAAGACAGCUUUCUGAGCUUAUCCGUCUCUGUUGCAAAAGAGUGGAGAGAUCUUAAGGUAGGGGUGACAGACCAAACGAGCUAAGUGAUAGCUGGUUGCUUAUGAAAAGGAUUUUAGUCCCGCUUAAAGAUUCUUUGUCCCACAAAACCUUUCUUUUAAGUAAUUCAAAUAAGGUACAGCCUAUUUGAAAAAGGAUACAACCUCAACUCUUGGGUUAUUACUAUUUAACAAUGAUAAAGUAGGCCUAAAAGCAGCCAUCUUAAUUAAAAGCGUCAAAGCUUCAUCAUCCCCUUAUUUAAUCCCAUUACUUCUUAUUAACCCCUUAUUAUUAAAAAGCAGCUCUAUAUCUUUAUAGAAAAUUUUAUGUUAAAACUAGUAAUUAGAAGAUCAAACCUUCUCCUCAAUGCAAGUGUACAUCAGUAAGGAUUCUCCACUGAUCUUUAACGCCCCUAAUAAUGAAGUAAUAACCCACCAAGAAAAUUUUACUUUUUUUAACGUUACCCUAACACAAGAGCAUUUAAGGAAAGAUUAAAAGAAAAAGAAGGAACUCGGCAAAUUUUAGCCUCGCCUGUUUACCAAAAACAUCGCCUCUUGAACAUCAAUAAGAGGUCCAGCCUGCCCAGUGACAUUGUUCAACGGCCGCGGUAUCCUAACCGUGCGAAGGUAGCGUAAUCACUUGUUCUUUAAAUGAGGACUAGUAUGAAUGGCUUCACGAAGGCUACACUGUCUCCUUUUUCUAAUCUAUGAAACUAAUCCCCCCGUGAAGAAGCGGGGAUACACCUAUAAGACGAGAAGACCCUAUGGAGCUUUAAACAACUGAAAUAAUUGCUUCUCCCUACCCUAUUUUCUGAAUAUUCUACAAUUUAACUUAAGCAUCCUAUUUCUAGUUUUAGGUUGGGGUGACCACGGAGUACAAUUUAACCUCCAUGCUGAAAGAAAUUACACUCUUAACACAAAGCCACAGCUUUAAGCAUCAAUAAUUUGACUUACAUUGACCCAAUUACUUGAUCAACGAACCAAGUUACCCUAGGGAUAACAGCGCAAUCUAUUUUAAGAGCCCAUAUCGACAAAUAGGUUUACGACCUCGAUGUUGGAUCAGGGUAUCCUAGUGGUGCAGCCGCUACUAACGGUUCGUUGUCAACGAUAAAAC
rnacentral:rRNA from 1 species